rnacentral:snoRNA from 1 species
GAGGAAGCAAAGUGAUGAAUAGUACUUGCAUGAGCCUAAGUGAGCGAGCUGUGUGCGUGUGCAGUUGUGUGACGUGUGCAGUUGUGUGACGGUUGUUUGGGAGAACUGUGUACCUUACAAUUGGGCGGUGAUUGCUAAACUGAUAAGAUCUGAUUGCUUC